GCGGGUGUAGUUCAAUGGCAGAACAUCAGCUUCCCAAGCUGACAGUGGGGGUUCGAUUCCCCUCACCCGCUCCC
rnacentral:tRNA from 1 species